GCCGGGAUAGCUCAGUUGGUAGAGCAGCUGUUUCGUAAACAGCAGGUCGUGGGUUCGAUUCCCUCUCCCGGCU
rnacentral:tRNA from 2 species